CCUACGGGAGGCAGCAGUGAGGAAUAUUGGUCAAUGGGCGGAAGCCUGAACCAGCCAAGUAGCGUGCGGGAUGAAGGCCCUACGGGUCGUAAACCGCUUUUGCACGGGGAUAACACCCUCCACUUGUGGUGGUCUGUAGGUACCGUGCGAAUAAGGGCCGGCUAAUUCCGUGCCAGCAGCCGCGGUAAUACGGAAGGCCCGGGCGUUAUCCGGAUUCAUUGGGCUUAAAGGGUGCGCAGGCGGGCGUUCAAGUCAGCUGUAAAAUCCCGUGGCUCAACCGAGCCCCGCAGUUGAAACUGGACGCCUUGAGGUCACAACAGGCAGGCGGAAUUCGUGGGGUAGCGGUGAAAUGCAUAGAUAUCACGAGGAACCCCGAUUGCGAAGGCAGCCUGCCGGGGUGCGACUGACGCUGAUGCUCGAAGGUGCGGGGAUCAAACAGGAUUAGAUACCCGGGUAGUC
rnacentral:rRNA from 1 species